rnacentral:rRNA from 1 species
CCCUUGUCAUUAGUUGCUACAUUUAGUUGGGCACUCUAAUGAGACUGCCGGUGACAAACCGGAGGAAGGUGGGGAUGACGUCAAGUCCUCAUGGCCCUUAUAGGUAGGGCUACACACGUCAUACAAUGGAUGGUACAAAGGGUCGCCAACCCGCGAGGGGGAGCCAAUCCCAUAAAACCAUUCGUAGUCCGGAUCGCAGUCUGCAACUCGACUGCGUGAAGUCGGAAUCGCUAGUAAUCGUGGAUCAGAAUGUCACGGUGAAUACGUUCCCGGGUCUU